rnacentral:rRNA from 1 species
UACAGAGGUGGCAAGCGUUGUUCGGAAUUACUGGGCGUAAAGGGCGCGUAGGCGGCGUGGUAAGUCACUUGUGAAAUCUCUGAGCUUAACUCAGAACUGCCAAGUGAUACUGCUGUGCUCGAGUGUGGAAGGGGCAAUCGGAAUUCUUGGUGUAGCGGUGAAAUGCGUAGAUAUCAGGAGGAACACCUGAGGUGAAGACGGGUUGCUGGGCCAACACUGACGCUGAGGCGCGAAAGCCAGGGGAGCAAACGGG